CUGACGUUGUUGCUAACUUUUAAUUACAAGUACUGAGAGUUGGUUUGUUCUAUAAUGAUGAAGUGAACAAUCUUUUUUACAGGUGUCAUGGUAGAAAAAGUUGUUUCCCUUAACCCUGAUUUCGUAACGUGUUUUCCAGAUCCUUGUCAAGACCUCAGGAUGAACUUAGCAACAGUCAUUAAUAGGGGCAGAUAUCCUGUUGAUAUGCAGGUGUCCUGUAAAGAAAUAUUGUCUUCCCUGACAACAAUGGUCUUGAUCUUGGAGUACUGCAAGCAUUCGGGUUCCUUCAAGAUCCUGAAGCACUUAACAGUGGUCGGUAAUGGGGGACAUUUCUUGUGUCCAGGUAAGCGGUGAUGUGUAUCUUUACCACAUCAGACCCUCUGAUCUCUCCAUGUGUGUG